rnacentral:snRNA from 1 species
UUUUCUUUCUGUAAGUAACGUCGAAAUUUUAAAAAAUUAUUAUCAGUAUAAUAUCUGAUACGUUCCCCCAUAUGGGGACUUCGAUAUUACACUGAUUUAGAGAUCAUGACGGAGGGUUAGGGACUUGUUCCACCUCUGCCACGGGUCGGCCUGGUGAUGUACCUCCAGGGCUGGCCAACUCCCC